rnacentral:piRNA from 1 species
UUCAUGUUUGGAAUCAAAGUU